rnacentral:rRNA from 1 species
UUAAACAUAAUUUCGACUAUGUCGAAUAAAGUUCUAGGUGAAAGUUUCUGAUAAUGACAGUAUUUCAUCUAAAAGUCUUGACCAAAUUACGUGCCAGCAGUCGCGGUAAUACGUAGAAGACUAGUGUUAUUCAUCUUUAAUAGGUUUAAAGGGUACCUAGACGGCAUGAUCAGCCUAAAAUAAGGUACGGUUAGAGCUAGAGUUCUAUAUGAGGAGGGGAGUAUUGAUGGAGUAGAGAUGAAAUUCUUUGAUACCAUACAGACUGGUAGAGGCGAAAGCAACCUUUUAUCUAAGAACUGACGUUGAGGGACGAAGGCUUGGGUCACGAACAGGAUUAGAUACCCUAGUAGUCCUUGCAGACAAUUAUGAAUGCCAUAGAUUAGAUUUUUAUUUGGUUUAUAAAUGAAAGUGUAAGCAUUCCACCUCAAGAGUAAUGUGGCAACGCAGGAACUGAAACCAUUAGACCGUUUCUGAAACCAGUAGUGAAGUAUGUUAUUUAAUUCGGUGGCCCUCGAAAAACCUUACCACAACUUGAAUAUUAUCUAGUGACACCUAGAUGACUAGGGAUACCUAGAUGAUACAAGCGUUGCACGGCUGUCUUAAGUUAAUGUCGUGAGACAGUGGUUCGCUCCACAAAAUUAACGAAAACCCUUGUUUUAUUUAUAAAUAUUUUGAAUAGAGCAGUUCGCUAGUAGAUCGGUUACUGAU